GAAAUUUCAUUCGCACUAGUGAUAGCUAGUUUCCCUGGAAAGAUAUAAAAGUGUCGAGAAAAGAUAUAAUUUAUAAUACUAAUUAUUAUAUAUCACAUGUGCUUUUCACUAAUUUUUUUGAGGAUAAGCUCAAAAAAAAGUUAAGAAUUUUAUAAUUAAAUUUGCUAUGUAGGCUUAAAAUUAGCCAUUAUAAAAGUUUUUUAUAAAAUAGUAACCUUAGUCUUAUAGAUAAAUAUAAUUUAAACUAACUUUUUACAGGGACAAAAACUUUAAUUUUAAUAAGUUUUAUGCCUAUGCUAGAAUGAGUAUUAAAACUUAGUUAUGGAAGAUUUAUUUUAUGUCUUUCUAAAAAAAAAUUUAAAAAAGUUAAUUAAUUAGAAGGAACUCGGCAAAUUUAGUUGUUUCGCCUGUUUAUCAAAAACAUGGCUCUUUGAUUGUACAAAUAUAAAGAGUCGGACCUGCCC
rnacentral:rRNA from 1 species